rnacentral:rRNA from 1 species
AGUGGUGAUCGUGAUUAUUGGGUCUAAAGGGUCCGUAGCGGUUUGGUCAGUCCUCCGGGAAAUCUGAUAGCUCAACUAUUAGGCGUUUCGGGGGAUACUGCCAGACUUGGAACCGGGAGAGGUAAGAGGUACUACAGGGGUAGGAGUGAAAUUCUUGUAAUCCCUGUGGGACCACCUGUGGCGAAGGCGUCUUACCAGAACGGGUUCGACGGUGAGGGACGAAAGCUGGGGGCACGAACCGGAUUAGAUACCCGGGUAGUCCCAGCCGUAAACGAUGCUCGCUAGGUGUCAGGCAUGGCGCGACCGUGUCUGGUGCCGCAGGGAAGCCGUGAAGCGAGCCACCUGGGAAGUACGGCCGCAAGGCUGAAACUUAAAGGAAUUGGCGGGGGAGCACAACAACGGGUGGAGCCUGCGGUUUAAUUGGACUCAACGCCGGACAACUCACCGGGGGCGACAGCAAUAUGUAGGCCAAGCUGAAGACUUUGCCUGAAUCGCUGAGGGGUGGUGCAUGG